CCUACGGGCGGCAGCAGUGGGGGAUAUUGCACAAUGGGGGAAACCCUGAUGCAGCGACGCCGCGUGGGUGAAGAAGCGCCUCGGCGCGUAAAGCCCUGUCAGCAGGGAAGAAAAUGACGGUACCUGAAGAAGAAGCCCCGGCUAACUACGUGCCAGCAGCCGCGGUAAUACGGAGGGGGCAGGCGUGAUCAGGAUUUACUGGGUGUAAGGGGGGCGCAGACGGCGAUGCAAGCCAGGAGUGAACGCCCGGGGCCCAACCCCGGGACUGCUCUUGGAACUGCGUGGCUAGAGGGCAGGAGGGGCAGGCGGAAUUCCUGGUGUAGCGGUGAAAUGCGUAGAUAUCAGGAGGAACACCGGUGGCGAAGGCGGCCUGCUGGACUGCAACUGACGUUGAGGCCCGAAAGCGUGGGGAGCAAACAGGAUUAGAUACCCUAGUAGUC
rnacentral:rRNA from 1 species